rnacentral:rRNA from 1 species
AAUUUGAAGAGUUUGAUCAUGGCUCAGGUUGAACGCUGGCGGCAGGCCUAACACAUAAGUCGAACGGUAGCACAGAGAGCUUGCUCUCGGGUGACGAAAAGGAGAGUGGCGGACGGGUGAGUAAUGUCUGAAACUGCCUGAUGGGGGGGAUAAACUGGAAACGGUAGCUAAUACCGCAUAACGUCUCAAGACCAAGGGGACCUUCGGGUCUCUCUUGCCAUCAGAUGUGCCCAGAUGGGAUUAGCUAGUAGGUGGGGUAACGGCUCACCUAGGCGACUGAUCUAGCUGGUCUGAGAGGAUGACCAGCCACACUGGAACUGAGACUGGUCAGGGCUCCCUGCAGGAGGGGCAGCAGUGGGGAAUAUUGCUGUGGGCAUGCAAGCCUGAUGCAGCCAUGCCGCGUGUAUGAAGAAGGCCUUCCAGGGUUGUAAAGUACUUUCAGCGAGGAGGGAAGGUGUUGUGGUUAAUAACCCGCAGCGAUUUGACGAUACCCGCGACCACCGGCUAACUCCCGUGCCAGCAGCCGCGGUAGCCGCGGAGGUGCAAGCGUUAAUCAUUACUGGGCGUAAAGCGCACGCAGGCAGUCUGUCAAGUCGGAUGUGAAAUCCCCGGCUCAACACGAGACUGCAUUCGAAACUGGCAGGCUGGAGUCUUGUAGAGGAGGUAGAAUUCGGUGUAGCGGUGAAAUGCGUAAUGAAUCUGGAGGAAUACCGGUGGCGAAAACUGCCCCCUGGACAAAGACGGCGCUCAGUGCGGCGUGGGGGAGCAAGCAGGAUUAAGAUACUUUUUGGUAGUCACGCCGUAAACGAUGUCGAUUUGGAGGUUGUGCCCUUGAGGCGUGGCUUCGGAGCUAACGCGUUAAAUCGACCGCACAGGGAGUACGGCCGCAAAGGUUAAAACUCAAAUGAAUUGACGGGGCCCCACCAAGCGGUGGAGCAUGGUUUAUUCGAUGCAGCAGCGAAGAACCUUACUGGUCUUGACAUCACAGAACUUUCCAGAGAUGGAUUGGUGCCUUCGGGAACUGUGAGACAGGUGCUGCAUGGCUGUCGUCAGCUCGUGUUGUGAAAUGUUGGUUAAGUCCCCUGUAGAGCGCAGCCCUUAUCCUUUGUUGCCAGCGGUUGGGCCGGGAACUCAAAGGAGACUGCCAGUGAUAAACUGGAGGAAGGGUGGGGAUGACGUCAAGUCAUCAUGGCCCUUGACGGGGCUACGACGUGCUACAAUGGCGCAUACAAAGAGAAGCGACCUCGCGAGAGCAAGCGGACCUCAUAAAGUGCGUCGUAGUCGGAUUGAGUCUGCAACUCGACUCCAUGAAGUCGGAAUCGCUAGUAAUCGUGAAUCAGAAUGCUACAGUGAAUACGUUCCCGGGCCUUGCCACCGCCCGUCACCAUGGGAGUGGGUUGCAAAGAAGUGGUAGCUUAACCUUCGGGAGGCGCUUACCACUUUGUGAUUCAUGACUGGGGGUGGGAGGUAACAAGGUAACCGUAGGGGAACCUGCGGUUGGAUCACCUCCUUG